GACGAACGCUGGCGGCGUGCCUAAUACAUGCAAGUAGAACGCACAGUUUAUACCGUAGCUUGCUACACCAUAGACUGUGAGUUGCGAACGGGUGAGUAACGCGUAGGUAACCUGCCUGGUAGCGGGGGAUAACUAUUGGAAACGAUAUCUAAUACCGCAUAAUAUUAAUUAUUGCAUGAUAAUUAAUUGAAAGGUGCAAUUGCACCACUACCAGAUGGACCUGCGUUGUAUUAGCUAGUAGGUGAGGUAACGGCUCACCUAGGCGACGAUACAUAGCCGACCUGAGAGGGUGAUCGGCCACACUGGGACUGAGACACGGCCCAGACUCCUACGGGAGGCAGCAGUAGGGAAUCUUCGGCAAUGGACGAAAGUCUGACCGAGCAACGCCGCGUGAGUGAAGAAGGUUUUCGGAUCGUAAAGCUCUGUUGUAAGAGAAGAACGGGUGUGAGAGUGGAAAGUUCACACUGUGACGGUAUCUUACCAGAAAGGGACGGCUAACUACGUG
rnacentral:rRNA from 1 species